GCUGUAGCUGAGUGGUGGAGAGCAUUUGCUUUGCAUGCAGAAAGUCCCAGGUUCAAUCCCCAGUAUCUCCA